rnacentral:lncRNA from 1 species
CUAAGUCAAAUCCUAAUGAUGACCAUUCCUCAGCCUAGCCAUCACUCCUCACCCGAACUAAGAGUACCUGAAAUUUUUUUCAACAAUUGGGAAUGAGCUCACAGCCCAAUAAGGAAUAUUAAUGCAAUUCAUGGAUCAAAUAUUUUCAUUUCAAAUAGGAGAUAUCAUUUUUUUUUUCAUCAAAUAUCAAAGUUUCAAAAAUACCAAUAUAUUCAGAAUUCAACCAAUCAUUUUCAUAUCAAAUUCAAACACUUUCACAUAAGAUUCAAUCAAAUCUAUUCAAUUUUCAUUUCUCUGGUUAUCAAAUAUCAAAUGUCUAGUUAGGUGGGACUUUUCAAAUGGGUGGCUAGCCUCAAAUUGUUCCUGGUGGACGGAACCAAACACUACUAGUACUAGUAACCUCUAACCAAACCCCUAGAGGCUGGGGUCCAAAUCAAUUACAUUCCCACCAUGAAAUGUAAAGGUCAACUAUUAUAUCCCGUUGACAGGGCCGAAUAGUCAACUAUUAUAUCCCGUUGACAAGGGCCAAAUAGACCAGAGUGAUGUUUUUUGAUGAAGUAUUCAAAUUUACACAACAUAAUAUCUCCAUAUUUUGUGUCAUAAAUAAAACAAAAUAUUCCAACAUAACAUUUAGUGCAAAACAAUUUGAUCCAUGCAUGGUAACAAAAUAUCAUUUUCUUUUCCACAAUUCAAAAUAACAUAUAAAAUAAUUUAAUUUUAUAAAUAUUGCAUUAACUUCCCUUACCUCAAAAGAAGUCCUUGAAAGCUUGGGAGAAGAAUAAUUCUGAAAAAAUAUAAUCUACUCUUCACCUAAUAUAACAUAAGAGAAACAAUUAUUACUAUUUAUUUAUAAUUUAACUAAUCUAUUCCUUAUUUAAAUAAAACUAAUAAAUUCUCAAUUUGUUUCUAAUAACACAUUACUAAUUUAAUUAAAUUAUAACUUUAUUUCGUUAUAAAAUUCUAUAUAUAUAUAUUGCUAAAUCUCUUAUUCUAUUUAUUACAAAAAUACCAUUAUUACUAUUAUCUUAUUUAUAAAUCUAAAACUAAAUAUUAUUAUUUAAUUAACCAAUUCCAAACCACUCAACCUCGGGUACACCAAACCAAAAAGCAAAUUUUUAUUUUUAUUUUUAUUUUUUUUUUCAUUGCCAAUCAUGAUCCAUUAAUAUAUAUAUAUAUAUAUAUAUAUAUAUAAAAGGGGCUUCUUGGCACACGCACCUUUUGUUUUUGUUUUUUUUUUCCCAUGCUUCCAGUAGCACGCUACACGUACGCCCUUUUUUUUUUUUUUUUAUCUAAUAAAACUUAAGAUCUCCCAAAUUCCAAUACUAAAAUCAAAAUAUUAAAUUUUCACUAUUUGAUAUUAAAACGAAUUAAAAAAAAUAAUCUAACCCUAAUCUAGAUUUGGGGUUUUCAAAAAAAAAAAAUAUCUAAUGUGUUUGAAAUUAAUCAAUGAAUCUAAAAUAUUAAACUAGGGGUUAGAAUCUUACCUAUACAGAUCUGUUCUUCAACCCUGAAAUCUGACUCCAACCUUACGUUCUCUGGAAUUCUGCGAACAGGAAC